UUGACCGGAAAUUCGUCACUCCUUCAUUCCGCAAUGAUUGUUUUCAGCCACUGGUAGCUUGUAGAUGCUUUAUAUGCUCUACAGUCAAUUAUGAUUGCAUGUCUACUUAUAGUAACUAUAUAAUUAUUAAUAUACGCCUACUGUAUUAUAGCUAGAAAAUGAAUUAGCUAACGUUAUCCUGCCUAGCUGGAACUUCUGAAGGAAAAUGUGUUAUUUCUACAAUUAACGCAGCUUAACAGCCCUCGGCCCUAAAAGUUUUACAUCGUCACAUCAGUGUACCUCGAAUCCCCCUUGCCCAAGCGAGGGAGCGUGAUGAUCAGAGAUGCAACGUCAUUGGUGGAAAUCUUGAAGUUGAGUUUAAAAACAACUAACCUAAAGCUAUUAAUGUACCUAGGAAGCUAACGUAUCUAGCUCGCUACAGUUACCUAGAGCUGGCUAGCUAGUUUUAUAGUUUGGUAAUUUAUUCCAAUACAUUUCAGAAUUGCAAACAAAUGUUUAUGAACGGAGCAACGUUUUAUAAGCUGCUCACUACGAGACUAAGCCAAUUUGCCAACGCUAAAAACAGUGUGUGUAUAUAAGCUAGCGUCAUACUUUUUUCUGACAUGCCGAAAAUGCAGCCUUGUUGAUUACAUUUGACACUUCACCGCCACCAAUGUGACUUGUUUGCAUUGAAGUGUGGGUCAUAACAACCCCGCAAGUGACAAAAGUUGUUCACUCGCUCCCUCGAGCUAAAUCUAGUGAAUUGGGCCUCCAUUUAGGAUGGCAAUCGAACUGCAUCCGGUUUCAACGUGGAUUCCCGAGAGAAAGUGGCAGCGCAAGGGCAGUAAUGCCGUGUAUGGAGGAUUGACAGGGAUGUACAGAUGAGCAAUGCCAGUGGAAUUGGGGACACAGUGGAAUUUAGCUCCAAAAAGGUUGAGCGAGAUCUUUUGAGUUCUCUGACAGCACCCCAGCCUCUUCACCAUCUCUACCUGCAACCCCUGCGUACCACUCCCACAACGUACUUAAGAAGAGUUUAGAAGGGGCCAAUGUUCCACUUGGAGCCUUCUGAAAUAGUGCAUCAAAGCUAAACCGAACAGUCAUCAUGUUCCAACAGCAGCCACACAGUGAACACGGCAUCAACACAGUAUCAGAAAUGCUUGUUUUGGCCUUUCUAGGGAGUUUUUCCUAGCCACCGUGCUUUUACACCUGCAUUGUUUGCUGUUUGGGGUUUUAGGCUGGGUUUCUGUACAGCACUUUGAGAUAUCAGCUGAUGUACGAAGGGCUAUAUAAAUAAAUUUGAUUUGAUUUGUAAUUUUAUGACUUUUAUGUUAAGCUGGAGGAGUGUAAAUGUGCCAGCUUGGAUGAGGUUACCAAAGCACAGAGUGCCUCCUAUGCAUGGUAUGACACACUUAUAUUUCAGAUCACUGCAAGCUCAGUAAAGAAUGUUCCUGUGCGCACCUCAACAAAUCCUAACCACUUUGUGCAGGAGCAUCUCUUCCCCAGGUUCCAUGGAAACUCAGAAACCACAUAUGGCAAGAAAAACGAGCAGGUGGCCUACACAUGGAUGGAGAGCUGUGGGUUUAGUUUGGAGUGUAGAGGCACAGUAGUGUGUCAAGGAGCCAUGUCUUUCUGCAAGCCCACAGAUGGAGUGUUAAACUCUCAAGAACUUCUAGAAAAUGUUCUGUUCUGAGUGAAGUGUGAGUCUCUGGCAAACUCCUCAACGUUAAGCUGGUGGAUGGAGUUCCUCAGCUGCAACAUAAUGGAGCCUGUGGGUACUACGUGCAGGAGCAAUUGGGCAUGUUCUGCACAGGACUGGAGAUAUGCAAACUGUUGUCUGGGCUCUGUCCGAGCUGGUUGUUAUUGAUGUGCCUAUUGAUGUGAAGUUCUGUGCUGAUGUUAUCCCUAAACUGAAGGCAUUCAUUUCCUACAUAUGCUGCCACGGGUAGUAUAUGAGUUCCAGUUAGGCAGACUGUGUGCUCAAAAUAUGUUAAUCUAUGUGGUUUCUAGGCUAAUACUUUGUUUUGAAAUAGUUCUUAUAUUUUGUGCCUUGUAAAUAUCUCUCUGUUAGCUCUACCUUAUUAUCUAGGCAUAACUCUUGGUGUUUUUUGUUGUCUUGCACAGUUCUCUUCAUAUGCACAUUUACCUGAUUGAUAUUUGCAUAAUUCUUCUUGGUGUUUUUUUAUGUCUUGCCUUGUACAGCUCUCUUCAUACAUGUUUAUCUAAUGCUUAAGGAUAACUCCUUAUGAUUUAUGAAUAUAUUAAUUGUACCUUGUAUAGCUCUUUAUUUUCAUUUGGCACUUCAUUAACUUAUCUAAGCAUACCAUAACGCAUCUUGCACUUGUGAAAUGAUGGCGUGAAAUUUUCUUUGAUACUUAACACAUUUCUUCCUGAAUUUCAAAAUGUUUUUCAGUUUGAUUCUGAGUUUAGUUUUCAAGGGCACAAAUUAAGAAAAGAGUGGCACUUGAUAAACAGUUGUCUUCCUUCUUGGUCUGUUAGAUAUUUUGGUGUUGAAUAAAUUUGAUUUUAAAUGGA